UACGGGGGGGGCAAGCGUUGUUCGGAAUUACUGGGCGUAAAGGGCUCGUAGGCGGCCAACUAAGUCAGACGUGAAAUCCCUCGGCUUAACCGGGGAACUGCGUCUGAUACUGGAUGGCUUGAGUUUGGGAGAGGGAUGCGGAAUUCCAGGUGUAGCGGUGAAAUGCGUGGAUAUCUGGAGGAACACCGGUGGCGAAGGCGGCAUCCUGGACCAACACUGACGCUGAUGAGCGAAAGCCAGGGGAGCAAACGGG
rnacentral:rRNA from 1 species